AUUGAACGCUGGCGGCAGGCCUAACACAUGCAAGUCGAACGAGUGGCGGACGGGUGAGUAAUGUCUGGGAAACUGCCCGCUGGAGGUGGAUAACUACUGGAAACGGUCGCUAAUCCCGCCUCCCAUCGGUUGUGCCCAGAUGGGAUUCGCUAGUAGGUGGGGUAAUGGCUCACCUAGGCGACGAUCCCUAGCUGGUCUGAGAGGAUGACCAGCAACACUGGAACUGAGACACGGUCCAGACUCCUACGGGAGGCAGAAGUGGGGAAUAUUGCACAAUGGGCGCAAGCCGGAUGCAGCCAUGCCGCGGGUAUGAAGAAGGCCUUCGGGUUGUAAAGUACUUUCAGCGGGGAGGCGUUACCUGCAGAAGAAGCAACGGCUAACUCCGUGCCAGCAGCCGCGGUAAUUC
rnacentral:rRNA from 1 species